UGUAGGAACACAUUAAGGGUUUGUCUUGAACCAGCGACAUGCUUACUGAUACCCAGCAAAAAGGUCCAAAGACACUGACAUCUGCUCCAGAUGCUCUACUGUUUGCUGGAAUUUCGACAAACAUCUGCCCUGUGGAUGAUGUUGAUGCUCGGACAAUCUUUGUAAGUAAUGUAAUAAAUUGUACGUAUCGUAUUCGUGGCUGAGAUAAAUCUUGUGUGUCUUUGCCUUGUUUCCUGUUCUUGUUCUUUCUGUGCUAGUUUAGAACUCUAGGUAGUUUUCACUUCCAUUCUUCUUUUUUCUGUACAAAGGUUCUUAUUCCGUAUGACUGGUUUUUAUACAUUCCUUGAGGUAGGUGGUUUAAAUCACUCUCUUGUGCGUUGCAAUAUGCAUUUUUGUAUGAAAAAUCUGUCUUUUUACGGGAUGCUAUCCCGUGAUUCUUGGAGAUUGACUUCUGAUUUCACCGUAGGUUGUAGAUUUCUAUGACUAUUAUUGUAAAGUUAUGGUUAUUCUGCUGGAACAUCAAUAUCUCCUUAGGUGGUAAAAUUCCUAAAGUAACAAUGCCCAACGUCGAGCAACUGGUUGCUAGAGAUGCGAAAGGUAGAGUACUGAUGGGAUUAAUCCCUAAGCAGGUUCAUUGGGUAGGAUUGUAAUCAACAUUUUCCAAUUUAAAGAUGGAACUGACCGUUGUAAGGAUGCUCAAGAAUCUGUCGUGAACGGUUCCCCUGUUUCUGAAGAGUUUAAGUUACAGGUGAUCAAAGAAGAAGCUAGCGGAAGAGAAAAAAAUUGUUGUGUGUUUUUUUUCUAGGCCACAGUUGAGAAACAGAAUUCAGAUAUCAAUAUUUUAUCACUGUUAUUUUGAAACGUGGUGUCUUUUUUUUUGCCAAUUUGCGAUUGCGUCGCUAGUACUUUCUCUGUUUUAUUCUUGAUUGGUUGUUUUCUUUGGACUGCUCCACUUCGGGUGGAGUUAUAUAUUGGACAUUGAAUAGGAGGACAGAAAACAUGACGAUUUCUUGA